GCCAGCUUAGUAUAAGCUUAAUACGUAAGACUGUAAAUCUUGUAAUAAUAAUAAUUAGCUGGAA
rnacentral:tRNA from 1 species